rnacentral:rRNA from 1 species
UACAGAGGGGGCAAGCGUUGUUCGGAAUUACUGGGCGUAAAGGGCGCGUAGGCGGCCGCCUAAGUCAGACGUGAAAUCCCUCGGCUCAACCGGGGAACUGCGUCUGAUACUGGGUGGCUUGAAUUCGGGAGAGGGAUGCGGAAUUCCAGGUGUAGCGGUGAAAUGCGUAGAUAUCGUCUGGAACGCCAAAGGUGAAAACAGGUCGCUGGGGCUGAGCUGACGCUGAGACACGAAAGCCAGGGGAGCGAACGGG